AGGAGAGUCACCCUUACUUCAGAAAUACCCUGUGUAAAAACUGGGUUUCAGCCAGGUGGUGGUGGUGCACAGCUUUAAUCCCAGGGCUCAGGAGGCAGAGGCAGGAAGAUCUCUGUGAGUUCGAGGUCAACCUGGUCUACAGAGAGAGUUCUAGGACAGCCAGGGCUACACAGAGAAACCCUGUUUGGGAUGAUGGGAAGCUGGGCACCUGGAAAUAAUAAAACUGAAUAUUAACUCUACUUGAAGAUUGCAUCCCUUCCAAAUUCCAGAAUCCACUCUGUCUGAUGGCAAGGGAGACGUGUGGAUUCUAUUCUCACAGUUCUGUCUUCUCUGGGACAAGUUAGUGAUUUGGAACCCAGUUCUAUAGGCCAUGACUGCUCCUCAAUGCUUUGGAUCUGCAUAGAGAUAUUGAUGAAAGGUCUGGUGGAUCCCUCCCCCAGGCUCACAGAAAGAGAGGUUGGUGGCAUUACUCCAGCGAUCACUGUGGACAGGGAUGAUUAUUUGUGGCCACACUGCAUUAAAACCCUUGAAUUUCUCAAGGCCUGGGGAGUGUGUCUACCUCUCCUGUGUUUGGAGUUUCCGAUUAUCCAGGAGAUGUGGGAUGAAGAAGCCCAUCGGAUCCGUGAAUAGUGCUGGGAUAGGAUCAUUUGUUUGUGGAUGAUCUGGACGCCUGCUGAAAUUCUACCACUGAAAUGUUCAGCUCCGAAGAAAGCAAGUCAGCAAGUAGGCUUCCUCCAUGUUUUCAACUCUGGGUCCCUGACUUCCUCCGUAAUGGAAGCGUGAGGGCACCAACAACAGACUAAGGAAGCGAUUCCAUCCAAGUCCAGUUUGGUGAACCGGCAAGUUUAGAUUAGCUUACAGGACAGGAGUGUGUGGUGACCCAAAGGCAGACACAUCAUCUAGAAACCCUACCUCAACCUGGGUGACAAGAACGCCACAUCCUGGAGCUUCUGGACCAAGUGACUGACAGUGCCAUUAUGCACAGUCCCUGAGCAACUGUCUCCAGCUUUAAUCGUCUUUAGGGAGGAGCCUUGUGAAUCUGGAAAUGAAGCUGUUAAAAAAAUAAAAACUAUGAAAAGUACUCAAGACAAGAAGUGCUAUAUCAUAAUGACUCCGUUCCCAUAGUGAUGUCACAAGAUACGCAGAAACACUGGGGCCGCUUAGCAGUCAGCACAGGACUGUGGAUUGACGGUAAGCCGGUCGGUGGAUGGUGAAGGCUGCCUGUAGCCACAAAUUGCUUCCAAUAGCCAAAAUAUCACACACAUCAGAAGCAGAGAGCUAAAAGCAGUAAAUUCAAGAAUCCAGCUACCUUCAACACACCUGCAUGCACAAGUGUCUGAUAUUUUAAAAAAAACAGGAUAAAAACAAAAACAAAAAAAUCCCCUCAGCACUUUGGAAAUAAGCUAGGUCCAAAAUUAACCUCCUGUCAACCUCGACAAGACCACAGUGGUGUAAUUUGUCCUUGACUCUGGGUCGUCUUCACCAAUGUCAAGAUGUCUACACUCUACAACAUGCAGAGGUAGGACGAGGCGUGCCACAGACCGGAACCUGAGUCAUGUCCCUCAGUGCUGACGCUCUUUCCAGCACAUGGUAGGUAACAAUACCAACUGCUUACAUUGCCUAGAAGAAUCUGGGCUUCCGGGUGAGACCCGCCGCAGGACAAAGGGAAGCAUGACUCUGGAAUGCUAGGAAGGAAAGCAAAGCCUGUAAACCAGGAUGGCAGGUCGCAAUUAGACAGGGAGGCUCCACUCAAGCACACAGGAGAAGAUAAACCACAGUAACCGGAAACAAGACAGACAGACACAAACUGAAAAGUUUCCACAUGGCGACUUGCAGCAGGAAAGGUUGCCAGGGACUGAUUCUAUGUGGCUUUCGAGACGUCUUAGGAAGACAGAGUGGGUCCUGGCUCUGCUGCCCUGCCACCCUGACCAUCUCCCUUGGCUGUCUGGGAUGUGGUUGCAUCAUCUGUCACCAGAGCUCAUUCCCCAGUGCUUGUCCUGCGAGUCACAUUCGCAGCACUUGACACCAUGUGGCCAUCCUGCAACCCUGAGCUCCUCUGGCCUCCUGUUCUCUGGCACUCUUCCCGGCAGCCACUCUUUCUCAUCUCCUUCACUAGUUUCUCUUCCUGUGCUCACCUCUAAAAUGCCAGUUUCCCCGAAGCUUCUUCCUUUUGUGUCUCACCCUGGGCAAUCCCGUGGACGUCAUUGCUCUGACUACCACAGUGUUUCCCAAGCAUCUGUCUCCAGCCUCUGCCUCCUUCCGAUCUCACCAGCUCACUGACCACAGGAUUACACAUUUUCCUCCCUCCCUUCCCCCUUCUUCUUCUUCUU